rnacentral:rRNA from 2 species
CAGCAGUGAGGAAUAUUGGUCAAUGGNCUAACGGCUGAACUGGCAACUUGGAGAAGUGGCAAGUCUUCCAGUAUGGGGAGCAAACAGCUAUGGGUCAAGCCCGACAUCUUUAGGAGAAGUCUUAUUGUGAGGGCGAGUUGUAAAACACCAUAGGGCUGGCCGUCCCAUAUGAAAAGAUUUUAUUAGAAUUGAAUGAAACUUUGUUUAUAUAUUGAUAAUGACAGUAUAUAUAUCGUGUCUUGACUAAUUGCGUGCCAGCAGUCGCGGUAAUACGUAAGAGACUAGUGUUAUUCAUCUUAAUUAGGUUUAAAGGGUACCCAGACGGUCAAUAUAGCUUAUAAAAUGUUAGUACUUGACUAGAGUUUUAUGUAAGAGGGCAGUACUUGAGGAGGAGAGAUGAAAUUUCGUGAUACCAAAGGGACUCUGUAAAGGCGAAGGCAGCCCUCUAUGUAAAAACUGACGUUGAAGGACGAAGGCACAGAGAACAAACAGGAUUAGAUACCCAAGUAGUCUUUGCAGUAAAUGAUGAAUGCCAUAGGUUAGAUUAAUAGUUAAUGUAUAUAGGCUAGUAUAAUAGACUAUACAUUAAAAAUUAUUUGGUCUAUAAAUGAAAGUGUAAGCAUUUCACCUCAAGAGUAAUGUGGCAACGCAGGAACUGAAAUCACUAGACCGUUUCUGACACCAGUAGUGAAUNAUGUUAUUUAAUUCGAUGAUCCGC